AGUGGACAUGAGGUGAACCACGUUGUUGAAAUUCAACACGGAUAGAGUUCAGCAUUUCAGGCCAUCUCAAAUCAGCAGAGCUAAAAGAUGCAAAAAAGCAUGCAAAGUAGGCCCACCAGUAGGAUAGAGGACAGGGAAACAUUUUGCUUCAUUGGUUUGAUCUGUUAGCAACCUAACAGGACUGUUGCCUUCACCUGGUGCCACAUUUAGGAUGUCCUGGAAAUGCUGAUCAAUUAUCUCUGAACCCAGAUCAACCGGCUGUAAUGAUGUAUCUGACAAAAGUCCAUUAUGUCCUU